CCAAUAGCGUAUAUUAAAGUUGUUGCAGUUAAAAAGCUCGUAGUUGAAUUUCGGGACCAGUAUGUUGGUCGUGCUUCGGUACGUACUGUCAUUACUGGUUUCUCCCUUCUGAAGAACCUUGAUGUCAUUAAUUUGGUGUCUUGGGGAAUCAGGACUGUUACUUUGAAAAAAUUAGAGUGUUUAAAGCAGGCAUACGCUUG
rnacentral:rRNA from 1 species